rnacentral:lncRNA from 1 species
UAGAUUCUACUCUUCUCCGGUACUUGCCAGAUUCUAACCUUCCCUGGUACUUGCCUGGAUUCUACCCUUCUCCAGUACUCGCCUGCAUUCUACCUUUCCCGGUACUUGCCCAAACCCUUUUCCUUUACUCUCCCCGAUUCUACACUUUUUCGGUACUCGUCCGAAUCCUACCUUUCUCUGGUACUCGCCUGGAUUCUACCUUUCUUGGUACUCGCCCGGAUUCUACCCUUCUUCAUUACUCCCCUAGAUUCUACCUUUUCUUGGUACUUACCCGAACCCUUUUUCGGUACUCGUCUGUAUUGUACUUUUCCCCUGUACUAUCCCAGUUUCUACCCUUCUCAGGUACUCACCUGGAUUCUACCUUUUCCCGGCACUCGCCCGGACCCUUUUUUGGUACUCACCCGGA